UACGAAGGUCCCAAGCGUUAUCCGGAUUUAUUGGGUUUAAAGGGUGCGUAGGCGGGUUAUUAAGUCAGUGGUGAAAGCCUGCAGCUCAACUGCAGAAUUGCCAUUGAUACUGAUGAUCUUGAGUAUGAUUGAGGUGGGCGGAAUGUGUCAUGUAGCGGUGAAAUGCUUAGAUAUGACACAGAACACCGAUGGCGAAGGCAGGUCUCUGGGCCACUACUGACGCUGAGAAGCGAAAGCAUGGGGAGCGAACAGG
rnacentral:rRNA from 1 species